UACGGAGGGGGGCUAGCGUUGUUCGGAAUUACUGGGCGUAAAGCGCACGUAGGUGGCGACGUAAGUCGGGUGUGAAAGCCCCGGGCUCAACCUGGGAAUUGCAUUCGAGACUGCAUUGCUGGAGUACGGAAGAGGAGGGCGGAAUUCCCCAAGUAGAGGUGAAAUUCGUAGAUAUGGGGAGGAACACCGGUGGCGAAGGCGGCCACCUGGACGGUAACUGACGCUGAGGCGCGAAAGCGUGGGGAGCAACGGG
rnacentral:rRNA from 1 species